rnacentral:rRNA from 1 species
AUGGCCGCCGUCGCCGGAGCCGGAGGAGGCGACGAGAUGCUGCUGCGGCGCUCGCGCCGGCGGCUGCCCCUCGCCGACCUCACGAACCUCUCCUCCGCCACCUCCGCCAUCACCCGCCUGAAGCGCAAUCCCCAGCACCGCACGAGCCCCGCCAGCAGCGCCAGCAGCAUUGGCUCCUCCACCGUUCCCCGCAUCCCCACGCCUCCUCCGCCCGCGGCCCUCUCCGUUUCUACGACUAAGGGCAAGGAUAAAUCCACAAGGGAGCUUCAAAGUUCCAAUACUCAUCUAAACAAGAUUCAAAAGAUCAGUAAACCUAAGGUGAAGACUGGAGGCGUGCUACCUGGGACGUCAUCUCCUCCUAGCAAAAACACAAGGAAGAUAACAAGGAAAGAGCAGCCGCGCACAGAGUCUUUGAUCUCCCCCUUGUAUGCCUCUAGUAAAACAAAGGCGAAGACUAGUGGAGACGUGCUGCCUGGGGCAUCAACACCUCCCAGCAAAAAGAUAAUGAAGGUAACAAGGGAAGAGCAGCCGCGCACAGAGCCUUUGAUCUCCCCCUUGUAUGCCUCCAGUAAAACAGGGCUGAAGACUGGAGACGAGCUGCCUGGGGCAUCUUUGCCUCCCAGAAAAAAGACAAGCAAGGUAACAGGCAGCAGCGGGAAAGAGCAGCUGCAGAUGGAGGAGAUGAGUUGCGAUGAGUCCCUGGUACCGAGCGAGGAUUUCAUCAAGGAGCGGAGGGCCUACUUCGCGGAGAUCGAUGCAUUUGAGCUGGUAGAGGAGUUUGUUUCAUCUGGAAGCGACGCAGAGUAG